rnacentral:rRNA from 1 species
ACAUGCCUACAACAUAAUGUUAAUGCAUCAGAUCUCGUUAGAACUCUGCAGUUAAGCACGCUUGGGCUAGAGUAGUACUGGGAUGGGUGAUCGCCCGAGAAGUCCUAGUAUUUUACAUGCC